rnacentral:rRNA from 1 species
AUUGAACGCUGGCGGCAUGCCUUACACAUGCAAGUCGAACGGCAGCACGGGUGCUUGCACCUGGUGGCGAGUGGCGAACGGGUGAGUAAUAUAUCGGAACGUACCUUAUCGUGGGGGAUAACGCAGCGAAAGCUGCGCUAAUACCGCAUACGCCCUGAGGGGGAAAGCGGGGGACCGUAAGGCCUCGCGCGAUUGGAGCGGCCGAUGUCAGAUUAGCUAGUUGGUGGGGUAAAGGCCCACCAAGGCGACGAUCUGUAGCUGGUCUGAGAGGACGACCAGCCACACUGGAACUGAGACACGGUCCAGACUCCUACGGGAGGCAGCAGUGGGGAAUUUUGGACAAUGGGCGCAAGCCUGAUCCAGCAAUGCCGCGUGCAGGAAGAAGGCCUUCGGGUUGUAAAGCACUUUCAGCGAGGAGGAAAGGAGGAUAGCUAAUACCUAUUCUCUGUGACGUUACUCGCAGAAGAAGCACCGGCUAACUCCGUG